CGCGUAGGCGGGUUUUCAAGUCGGUUGUGAAAUCCCUCAGCUCAACUGAGGAACUGCAUCCGAUACUGUCUGUCUUGAGGACGAGAGGGGAAAGUGGAACUUCUGGUGGAGCGGUGAAAUGCGUAGAUAUCAGAAGGAACGCCGGUGGCGAAAGCGACUUUCUGGCUCGUAUCUGACGCUGAGGCGCGAAAGCUUGGUAGCAAACG
rnacentral:rRNA from 1 species